GGCUGCCCCUUUCUUUCGCUUAUUUACUACUUUUCUUUGCUUUUCUUAUACUAUCAACUGCUUCAUUAAUGCCGUCCCAGUCACAAGAAGCAGAAGUUUGGUACUACUAGACAUAUCUCAAGAACAUAAUGUACUUUCAGAGAAUAUAAUUCGUAUGGAAAAAACAAGAAGAGAAGUACUAGAGGCUGAAGAGAUGAUAAACGAUUAUCCAGGUUCUGGGGCGAAUAAUCGUCAUACUCCAAGGUCCCAAUUAGGAAGAGGAUGUGUUGAAUGCUAGAUAAUAUAAUAUCUAUAUAUAUGUUUUUAAGAUAAUUAACUGUGUUAAGUACCAUUUUAAUCAUAAUUGGCUCAUAUUUUGAAUAGCUAAUUAAGAAAGUUAAUGAUCGUGUGGAUAAUCUCUGUGAUCAGAUAUAUCAGAUCUAGCUAGUAGCUUAGUUGAUGAAUUGGUUGAGGAGUACUUAUUAAUUAGCAGUAUUAUAUAUGUUCUAUAUGUAGUGUACUUAUUUAUGUUAUGAUUCAUAUUAAUUAUAUGAACUUUGUUUGGUAUCA